CAGUCGCCGCGGGAACACGGAGGGUGCAAGCGUUAUCCGGAUUUAUUGGGUUUAAAGGGUCCGUAGGCGGAUCUGUAAGUCAGUGGUGAAAUCUCACAGCUUAACUGUGAAACUGCCAUUGAUACUGCAGGUCUUGAGUAAAUUUGAAGUGGCUGGAAUAAGUAGUGUAGCGGUGAAAUGCAUAGAUAUUACUUAGAACACCAAUUGCGAAGGCAGGUCACUAAGAUUUAACUGACGCUGAUGGACGAAAGCGUGGGGAGCGAACAGGAUUAGAUACCCCAGUAGUCCCUGUCUCUUAUAA
rnacentral:rRNA from 1 species